rnacentral:rRNA from 1 species
UACGGAGGGUGCAAGCGUUAUCCGGAUUCACUGGGUUUAAAGGGAGCGCAGGCGGACUUGUAAGUCAGUGGUGAAAGGCUUAAGCUUAACUUGGGAACUGCCAUUGAUACUAUAAGUCUUGAAUGUUGUUGAGGUUUGCGGAAUGGGUCAUGUAGCGGUGAAAUGCAUAGAUAUGACCCGGAACACCUAUUGCGAAGGCAGCAGGCUAAACAAAUAUUGACGCUGAGGCUCGAAAGCGUGGGGAUCAAACAGG